rnacentral:rRNA from 1 species
GACGAACGCUGGCGGCGUGCUUAACACAUGCAAGUCGAGCGGAAAGGCCCUUCGGGGUACUCGAGCGGCGAACGGGUGAGUAACACGUGAGUAAUCUGCCCUUGGCUUUGGGAUAACUACCGGAAACGGUGGCUAAUACCGGAUACGACAACCGUCUGCAUGGGCUGGUUGUGGAAAGUUUUUUCGGCCAGGGAUGUGCUCGCGGCCUAUCAGCGUGUUGGUGGGGUAAUGGCCUACCAAGGCUUCGACGGGUAGCCGGCCUGAGAGGGUGACCGGCCACACUGGGACUGAGACACGGCCCAGACUCCUACGGGAGGCAGCAGUGGGGAAUAUUGGACAAUGGGCGGAAGCCUGAUCCAGCAACGCCGCGUGAGGGAUGACGGCCUUCGGGUUGUAAACCUCUUUCAGUACCGACGAAGCGCCGAUGAUGGUGGUGACGGUAGGUACAGAAGAAGCACCGGCCAACUACGU